rnacentral:rRNA from 1 species
AAAUUGAAGAGUUUGAUCAUGGCUCAGAUUGAACGCUGGCGGCAGGCCUAACACAUGCAAGUCGAACGGUAACAGGAAGAAGCUUGCUGCUUCGCUGACGAGUGGCGGACGGGUGAGUAAUGUCUGGGAAACUGCCUGAUGGAGGGGGAUAACUACUGGAAACGGUAGCUAAUACCGCAUAAUGUCGCAAGACCAAAGAGGGGGACCUUCGGGCCUCUUGCCAUCGGAUGUGCCCAGAUGGGAUUAGCUUGUUGGUGGGGUAACGGCUCACCAAGGCGACGAUCCCUAGCUGGUCUGAGAGGAUGACCAGCCACACUGGAACUGAGACACGGUCCAGACUCCUACGGGAGGCAGCAGUGGGGAAUAUUGCACAAUGGGCGCAAGCCUGAUGCAGCCAUGCCG